rnacentral:rRNA from 1 species
GAUGAACGCUGGCGGCGUGCCUAAUACAUGCAAGUCGAGCGAACGGACGAGAAGCUUGCUUCUCUGAUGUUAGCGGCGGAUGGGUGAGUAACACGUGGAUAACCUACCUAUAGGACUGGGAUAACUUCGGGAAACCGGAGCUAAUACCGGAUAAUAUUUUGAACCGCAUGGUUCAAAAGUGAAAGACGGUCUUGCUGUCACUUAUAGAUGGAUCCGCGCUGCAUUAGCUAGUUGGUAAGGUAACGGCUUACCAAGGCAACGAUGCAUAGCCGACCUGAGAGGGUGAUCGGCCACACUGGAACUGAGACACGGUCCAGACUCCUACGGGAGGCAGCAGUAGGGAAUCUUCCGCAAUGGGCGAAAGCCUGACGGAGCAACGCCGCGUGAGUGAUGAAGGUCUUCGGAUCGUAAAACUCUGUUAUUAGGGAAGAACAUAUGUGUAAGUAACUGUGCACAUCUUGACGGUACCUAAUCAGAAAGCCACGGCUAACUACGUG